rnacentral:rRNA from 1 species
AACUUUUAACAACGGAUCUCUUGGUUCUCGCAUCGAUGAAGAACGUAGCAAAGUGCGAUAACUAGUGUGAAUUGCAUAUUCAGUGAAUCAUCGAGUCUUUGAACGCAACUUGCACUCUAUGGUUUUCCGUAGAGUACGCUUGCUUCAGUAUCAU